CUCAGUCGGCCAACAUCUCGUUGGACAAGCCAGCUUUAUCGGUCGAACAUACAAGUUCCAUCUCGUUCGUCAGACAUUCGUGUUAAGUUCUCGUUACGAAGAGUCUCGUAAAGCCUCCUGUUCAUAAUUACGUAUGUGAAUUUCCUUCUCGACAAUUAAUUUUGCGAAGACAGAACAAUAGUUUUAAUUGACGGAUCUAGGUGGCCAAAAUUAAUUUGUUUUUCAGUCAAACAAACGGUUCUUAAUAUUUUACAUCACCAAAGUCGCUAUUACGAAGAUAUUGUAAGAAUACAGAAUUCAACAACUGAAUAUAAUAUCAAUAAUAAUCAGACGAUCUUAUGGCGCAUUGAACCGUUUAAAAUGUAGAAAAGAAGAACAGUUUAUUAUUUCAUACCAAUAUGCAUGAAAAACGAAGAAUGACAUGUAUCUGCGGAAAAUCAAUUUUAAAGCAACAAAGGACGAAAGGAAUGAAUAUGUGGCUUAGAAGUAUUCAAAUAUAGUAGAAGAUUCAACGUGGAAUGUUCAGCACAAAGACGCAAAAGCCUUUGAUCGAAAAUCAACAUACCAUUGUCAAAGAAAGAAACAUCGUUUGCUAUUCUCGAUGUAUCUAUUUUCUUCAACAUCUAUAUAUCCCUUUAAUGCAUCACUAUCAAACAAAUCUUAUUCAUGAAUAUGUCUCGUACUUCCAUCUGCAAUACACUGAAAUCCAGAUACAAUGACUCACAAAAGUAUCUGAACACUUACCAUGAAAUACUUUAUUAAUUAUAAUAAGUAUAUUAUACAACUCUGUCCGAAAUAUUAUAAACAUUGUAAGGAGAUAUGACUCUUUAGAUU